AGAGUUUGAUCCUGGCUCAGGACGAACGCUGGCGGCGUGCCUAACACAUGUAAGUCGAACGGGACUGGGGGGGCAACUCUCCAGUUCAGUGGCAGACGGGUGCGUAACACGUGAGAAACUUGUCCAUCGGUGGGGGAUAGCCGGCCCAACGGCCGGUUAAUACCGCGUACGAUCGUUUAGGGGCAUCCCUGAAUGAUGAGGGCAUCGCAAGAUGCGCCGGCGGAGAGUCUCGCGACCUAUCAGCUAGUUGGCGGGGUAACGGCCCACCAAGGCUACGACGGGUAGCUGGUCUGGGAGGAUGGCCAGCCACAUUGGGACUGAGACACGGCCCGGACUCCUACGGGAGGCAGCAGUGGGGAAUCUUGCGCAAUGGCCGCAAGGCUGACGCAGCGACGCCGCGUGUGGGAUGACGGCCUUCGGGUUGUAAACCACUGUCGGGAGGAACGAAUACGCGAUGAUGAAUCGCGGGUGACGGUACCUCCAAAGGAAGCACCGGCUAACUCCGUGCCAGCAGCCGCGGUAAU
rnacentral:rRNA from 1 species